AUUGAACGCUGGCGGCAGGCCUAACACAUGCAAGUCGAACGCGUGGCGGACAGGUGAGUAAUGUCUGUGAAACUUCCCGAUGUAGGGGGGUAACUACUGGAAACGGUAGCUCAUACCGCAUACCAUCUGAUAUGCCCAGAGGGGGUUAGCUAGUAGGUGGGGUAACGGCUCACCUAGGCGACGAUCCCUCGCUGGUCUGAGAGGGUGACCAGCCACAGUGGAACUGAGACACGGUCCAGACUCCUACGGGAGGCAGCAGUGGGGAAUAUUGCACAAUGGGCGCAAGCCUGAUGCAGCCAUGCCGCGUGUAUGAAGAAGGCCUUCGGGUUGUAAAGUACUUUCAGCGAGGAGGCGUUACUCGCAGAAGAAGCACCGGCUAACUCCGUGCCAGCAGCCGCGGUAAUUC
rnacentral:rRNA from 1 species